rnacentral:rRNA from 1 species
GACGUAGGGGGCCAGCGUUGUUCGGAAUUACUGGGUGUAAAGGGUUCGUAGGCGGUGCGGCAAGUUGGGAGUGAAAUCUCUGGGCUUAACCCAGAGGCUGCUUCCAAAACUGCUGUGCUUGAGUGUGGGAGAGGCGCGUGGAAUUGCAGGUGUAGCGGUGAAAUGCGUAGAUAUCUGCAGGAACACCCGUGGCGAAAGCGGCGCGCUGGACCACUACUGACGCUGAGGAACGAAAGCUAGGGGAGCGAACAGG